rnacentral:rRNA from 1 species
UACGUAGGGGGCGAGCGUUGUCCGGAUUUAUUGGGCGUAAAGAGCUCGUAGGCGGCUUAGCAAGUCGGGUGUGAAAACUCCAGGCUCAACCUGGAGACGCCACUCGAGACUGCUAUGGCUAGAGUCCGGUAGGGGACCACGGAAUUCCUGGUGUAGCGGUGAAAUGCGCAGAUAUCAGGAGGAACACCGGUGGCGAAGGCGGUGGUCUGGGCCGGCACUGACGCUGAGGCACGAAAGCGUGGGGAGCAAACAGG